rnacentral:rRNA from 1 species
CCUACGGGUGGCAGCAGUGGGGAAUUUUGCGCAAUGGGGGAAACCCUGACGCAGCAACGCCGCGUGGAGGAUGAAGUCCCUUGGGACGUAAACUCCUUUCGACCGGGACGAAUAUUGACGGUACCGGUGGAAGAAGCCCCGGCUAACUUCGUGCCAGCAGCCGCGGUAAUACGAGGGGGGCGAGCGUUGUUCGGAAUUACUGGGCGUAAAGCGCACGCAGGCGGUCUGCUAAGUUUGGAGUGACAGUUGGGGGCUCAACUCCCAAAGUGCUUCGAAAACUGACAGACUUGAGGGCUUCAGAGGGACACGGAAUUCCGGGUGGAGUGGUGAAAUGCGUAGAGAUCCGGAGGAACACCGAAGGCGAAGGCAGUGUCCUGGGGAGUACCUGACGCUCAGGUGCGAAAGCCAGGGGAGCGAACGGGAUUAGAUACCCGAGUAGU